rnacentral:rRNA from 1 species
UACGUAGGGCGCAAGCGUUGUCCGGCAUUAUUGGGCGUAAAGAGCUCGUAGGCGGUUUGUCGCGUCUGCUGUGAAAACCUAAGGCUCAACCUUGGGCUUGCAGUGGGUACGGGCAGACUAGAGUGCGGUAGGGGUGACUGGAAUUCCUGGUGUAGCGGUGGAAUGCGCAGAUAUCAGGAGGAACACCGAUGGCGAAGGCAGGUCACUGGGCCGCAACUGACGCUGAGACACGAAAGCGUGGGUAGCAAACAGG